UUCCUUUGAAGCUCCCUGAACUGGUGCGUUCACUCUCUCUUGCUCCCUCCUUUUCUCUUGUUCCCACCCUCCUUUUCUCCAUGAAACGCACGCUGUAAUACCCAGUCACUCACAGACACAGAGGGCGAGAGACACAGGAACAGAAUACUGGACAUGCUACUGGAGCAGGAUUUUUCUUUUUGUUUGCCUUAAAUGAAAAAGGAGCUUGAAAGAGACAUUCUACUAACCAGAUCUGCCAAAUUCUGACGGCUGACCGGCACAGGCGUACAGAGAAGACUGCGGCAGCCUCCGCCACCUCGGUCAGCUGGAGCUUGCUACACUCGCUGCUGCACACCGCCGCCAUCUUGUUACUGCCUGUGCUACUGGUCUGCCUGCCUUUGCUGCACUCAAACCAAAUCAUCAAACUCAGCCUGCGGUUGUUUCCAUGCCACUCCUGUUUGUGCGCAGCUUUGUCACAACGCAGUGCUGCGCACCAGCUACCGGACGUUGCUGCACAGAAGCACCUGGAACUUUUAUCUGGGUGUUUCUUUAAUAGCUGCCACAGAUUGGAUGCUGCAGACGGUGUUGUCAGCAUCUCUCAAACCAUCAGUAAGAUCUGUACCAUUGUAACACACACUAUGCCCGAUGUAGAUUUAGCUAAGGACUUGACAUGCCGUACACCAUUAAAACAAGUAAAAAUAAGUGAAAUGUUAUUUUACAAAUUUACAAAUGAUUCAAAGUGGCAUGUCUUCUUCGCAGGAUUUAAGAAAAUUGCUCCCGUCGAAGAAAAUCAAUAACCACAAUCUGUCCCUUAUUCUGUGUAUAUAUUUCUCUCCAGAGCCCAUAUGCCUGAGCACAUAUACUGUAUAUGCUAUCUUUGUGAGCUUGUGUGCUGUAAAGAGAGGGUGGGAAAGAGAAAGGAGGGGAGUGAGAGAGAAAGAGAGGAAUCAAGCGUCGGUAAGAAAGUCUUCCUAAUUCUGUUUGGCAGAAACUGUGCUGUUUAACCAUAUGUGCAGAGAGCAGGCUUUGCACAUGCUCAGAAUGACUCAGAGGACACGACUUUCACAUGUCUCAACGCAAUUAGAUUAACUAAUAGAUAAUUUUCCAGCAAAUAUAAAUAAGUUACAGUGAAGUCAUAAAUAAUUUAAAAAGUGUGCACUCUACCUUGAAUUAUUUUUGUUGUACUCACAGUAUGAGGUUAAAACAUGGGCAUUAGAAGGAGAGCGGGAUACAAACACAGCAAGUAUAUUCCAGCUUAUGGAAAUCUUAUUCCUGCAUUUAACUGUGCUUUGGUGCAAAACAAGUGGAAGUGUGUAGGUGGAGGCCACAGUGAUACAGCAGUGAGUUCAGAAGGUCUUCAAUCCUCUAAGACUAUAUGCCAAGAAGACACCAUGCUAAUGAAAUCAUAAAGACGGUGAAGAAAACAAGCUGUCCCUGGAGAAUACAUCCAUGCAUCGGAGGUUGCCAGUUUUACUUUACUUGCUUCUGGGUAUGCAUGUACUGUAGCUUUGCAGUGAUACUGUAUUUAUAAGGUCAAAGGCUGCUUUGCUUCAGGGUUAAAAUGCUCUCAGCCUUUAUCUUAUGAUUACCUUCAUCAGGUCAGUGAAGAUCACCCUUUGCCCCACCAGCUGAGUGGGACAGCGGGUUACAAGAGGUAUGCAAAUCACAGUAAUAUUUAUUAUGUAUAACAAGGAAGAAAAUGUAAAAAAGAAGAAGAGUUUAAAUCACUGCUGAUAUUCCUAUGAAAUACAGGGUACAAUUAGAAUGAGAUAGAAAUGAUCAAGAUGCAAUUAACGUUCAUACUUUAAAUAUUGGACAGAAAUAUGACGUUGAAUAAUUUUGGCCACUUUUAUACACAGUCCGCCAUCUUUAGGUGCUUAAAUGCAGUCGAACGAACGCUCGUUAUAAGUUGGGGGCGGUUACAGUUACAGAACCAGCAGUUCUGGCCUAUUCAGAGAGCUCAGGUGGUGGAGCAGGUGGUGGAGCAGGUUUGGGCAGGACACUGAACCCCUAGUUGCUCUCGAUGGCAGAUGAGCUGUCUGAACACGUGUGGCCUAUAAAUGCCGAUCGUCUAAAAUUUGUACUUUUAAUACUUUGUCAGGAAUCAUUUGCGGGCAGUCUGAUUUCUGAAACCUUCGGAUAUUAAUGCUUCUGCGUUUCUGCAGUUGUUUGUUUACGCGUCUUGUUAUCAGGGAGUGAAAUUCAUACUCAGUCAGACUGAGAUUGGCCGAGAAAGUUAAAUUGUCUGCAUCAUGGUUGACUAUAAUCAAUGCUGACAUUGCUUGUUGUCCUCAUUGUGUAAGGACGGAAUCAUUAGAAACACCAAGUAACAGCGUAUUACGUAGAGAGCAAAGAAUUCGUAGUUUAUCGAGCUACCAGGUCUCACGCAGAGUUAACUUUGAAUUGAUGAUUAAAAGCAAACAAUAGUCAACUGAUAGUUUUCAUGAAUGUUAUUAAUCUAGUUUAAAAUUUCAAAUUCAGUUGGAGUUUCAGAGACUUCAGAGCAGAUCGCUGAAACAAUACCGAAGCAAUAUUGCUGCAUUUUAAAUCCGUCCGUCCAAGUCAUCUUUAGGCAAAAUGCAGGAUAUACUGUGGACUCAUUACCAGUCUAUCACGUGGCUAAUACAGAACACUUGCAGUCCAUCAGCUAAGAAUGGCUGCAUGAUUAAAUCCCAUUUAGAGGAAUUAUUCACUGUCAAAAAGUCCAAUUUAUGCAGAAAGCACAUAAGAGCAAAUAUGAAUUUCUUACUGGAAGGUAAGCUCCAUACUGGAACAUCACAAUACAAGUUCAGAGAGCCUGUCCAAUGAAAUAAUUCAUUAUAAUCCAAAGUGAGCCUUCAUCAGCCUGGGAGUUGUCCUGCUAUGUUUUUAUGAUCCAGUUAACAGAAAUAAAGCCCUCAACUCUCCGGCUUGAGUAAUGACGUAAGCAGUUAACGAUUGGAAGAAUUUCUUUUUGGACAAGAGCGGAGGACGUUGAUCAUUCAGGGUCAACAAUGAGCGCCUCAUUUGUUCUUUUUUUCCCCAUUUGUAGUAUAAAUAGAAGCAGUUCAGCCUUCAGUGGAGAGUUUGUGGAGCAUACUUACUGAGUGUCGAAUGCAAAGAUGUUGCAUUCUUUAUUAUUCCAUAUCAACUGUCCUGGAAUCCGUUACACCAUUUCCCAGAAUUGCAGUCCAAAAAGUAUGUAAAUCCCAGCUGGGAAUGGGUGUAGAAUCCCAAGGUUUGUGCACGUGACAUGAACUAUUCAUUCUUCUUCUUUUUCUGUCAAAGCAUGACUUCUUAAAAAGAGUUACAGGUGUAUCUGGGCCCACCUUCUUGUUACAUAUAUAUAAUGCACAGCUGUCAAAAGUAAAUAAAGUAGAAAUCACAAACGUCCUUUGUUAGGUGUUCACAUUUAAUUGCUCCUUCAGAAAUAAAUGCAAAAUCUUUGGAAAACAGGAUAAUCUGCUAACAAGUGCCAUUUCCUUACCCAGAGGACCCAUACUUGAGACUUUGUUUCUCCCAGAAUACAAUGUUUCCUCAUUUUCAGUGAGGAACCAACCAAAAACCAAAAGGUUUUGACAUUCAUUGUUCUCCCAGAAGAUGCAUCUGCAGGCAAUCCCUAACUUUCUCCUCUAGUGCUACCAGCACAAUGAUGUACAGGUGUAUGUGGUUUUAAAAUUCAUAAGUCACCAAAUACUGGAUGGAUUUCCAUUAAAGUUUGUGCCGAUAUUCAUAUCCUUCAGUGUACCUGUCUGCAUUUUUUUAAAAAGUGUCCUGUGUUCCAGUAUUUUGGCUUGCGAUUAAACAACUGCAAAGCUAGUGAUUUGCUGCAUUACUUACAUAUUGCAGUCAUGAAUAAGAGAAGAGACUAGUCUUUCCUGGUAGACUGCAGUGAAUUAUCUUCACAGCAGCAGAGUAGACAUAGAUUGCAUGACAUGGUGCAGUUUGCACAUGGAAUGCAGAAAGAUUUCAGGCACUGAGUGAUGAAGGCCAGAUGUUUGAGUUAUGCAUAGGAAGUCAGUGGCCUACAGUUGGUACUGUAUGAAGCGAUGAUGCCAGAAACCAUCGCCGGCAUAUACCAUGUAAUUAAAUUUAAGGAAGCCCACUCACAUAUUACAGCUUGUAUAUAAAAGCAAUACAUGUUCCAGGUUUGAAAAAAACAGACAUCAAAAAACAUUACAUAAACACAAGUGCCUAAAUAAAAAUAGAAACGGUAUAUGAGUAAGAGGUGUUGCUUAUGAUUCACCUGGUUACAGUUUGCAUAGCAACUAAUUCUAGUUUUUUUAUAUAUAUAUAUAUAUAUAAAGUUUUGCUCAAAAAUAAAAAAUAAAGAAAAGCUUAAGAGUCUGAGAGGUUGUUGUGAAUGUUGUGGAUUUAAUGAUUGGUCAAAAAUAAAUAAAACAUAAAUAUAAGCGAGGUCAUUAUAUCGAUAUCUUCAAUUUUGUCCUUCAUUUGUAGAUGUUACGGAAAUUAAUCUUUUUAAACUUGGAGAAAAGAAACAAGUUCAAAAGAGGACUUGUUUACCAGAAAAUAUUCCUUGCACAUUGAUUUGCAGCACGCAGUGUGGUUACAUUAUUAAACUAUAGACACCCAGCAAUGGUAAAUAUAUACUGAAACUUACCUCCUCCUCCUAUAGACGGUUUUCUCUUGUUCUUUCUCCCUCCUUUUUGUCUCGUCUUGCACACAGUUACACAUGCACACUCCCAGCCUGUCUGCGUCUCACACUCAAACACGCACACACACACACACGCACACACACGCACCGUCUUUUGUUUGGAGUCAGACGGCAUUGAAGGCAGAUCCUGUGGCCCUUCUGAGGAGAAUGUUAAUAUGCCCGCUCUGGUCUCUCUGGGGACGCAGAGAAUGGACUCGGGCUGCUAAUGCACUGUCACACUAACCCCGCUAAGUAUUCUCACAGUUAGCAACAGCAGCGCUGCUCCCAGAACUGAAAUGUAUUUAACUAAACUCGCAACCUACUGAAUCGUAAAGACUUACUUUAGAUUGUCCUUUCACAAAUAACUGCCUCAUUUGCCCACCUUUCUGUGCCUGCAAACAGAGAUAUGGCAGGUGGGCUAUUUGUUGAGUGCAGUUAGACUUAUUUCACUUUCAUUAGCACUUUAUUUAUGUGGACUCAUUAGGGGCAGUUUGCUCCCCCACACUGAGGUAGGCUUAAUGGAUUAUACUAACGACCUACACAAGCACACGGUAUUCAGUUACAUGUAGAGUUUAAACAAGUCAAAUUAUCUUUAAAGAGUUUGGGCUCGGUAUCGUUUUUGCUAACUUUGGCUAAAGGAUGUAUUUUUGCUUGUGGUUCAGUGAAAUCCUGCUAUUCGAACUGUGGUCACCUGAGUGGAAGGAAAAUGUUCCCCACUUACCAAACUGGUGUGAGGAGUAACUAUGUUUUCAUUUAUGUCAUGAAUAAAAUAAAACUAUUUUUGCUAUUUAAGAGCAUUAAAAAUGAAAAAUAAAUUAAUAACAUUUACUUCAUGUUGUAUAUUGGCUGUGGUCAUUGUGUCCAUGUGCUGAGCCUGUGGAUCACAGUUGCAUGCAGUAAUAGUCAAAGGAUAUUUAAGGUAUUACUAUAUAAACUAUGUAUUAUCAUGGAUUAAAUAUAUUAUAUAAGACAUUUUAUUUUGUGAGCAGUGUUUUCCUUUGAUAAUGC
ensembl:lncRNA